UUUUUUUGUCUUAUUAAUGUCAAGAGAGAGAGAGAUAAAGGUAUGGAAGCUUAUUUCCACUACGUAUGAGAAAAUGUUAUGCAGAAUGAUCUCACAAUUACCUUCUUUUUAUCUCACAUCCUGUUAACACACUCUCCAGGAGUGGCCCAGCCCCGCUGAAAAGAAUACUUCACUUAGGUUAUAUUGCCUCGCAACACAUUGCUAGGUUUUUGUUGUGGAUUGAUUAUGGGAAACGGAAGCACAGAGUCACAACUGUUAAAUAUUAACUCGCAGGUGAAACGUACAGUCGCAAUUGUGUGAAAAUAACGAGAUUUUUAGAGCUGCUAUAACAUAAAACGGGAACCAACUUGAUUCUUGGAUGUUCCACAACAUUCAACAUAUUAAUAAAUGAGUAAAAAUCACAUAUUCUUUAAUGAAUUAAUAUCCCACUUCAUCUCAGGCCACAUCACACCACCCCACCAUUGAAUACUUUCCUAUAACAUGCUCCCAAAGUGCUUUAUUCCUUAAACAAAACCAUAUGUCCUUCUUCUAAUGAACUCACUCAAACAUUUUAAAAAGAAGUCAAACAUCAGAUAUCCACGAAGACUGUGGAAGCAAAUUGUAGUAGUAUCUGUGGUACCUGCUCCUCUUUCAAUGUUCAUAAGGUGUAGUCUGCUCUAGUUUUAGCUGUUCAUGUAUUGUUCUUGUUUAUUGAUAUGAUGUUUGGUUAUGCUAACUGUACCCCCCCCCCCCUCUAGUUGACUUAAUUUAACCAAUGUUACUUCAUUAAUUUUGUGACUUACAUACUGAUAUCUUUCUAGUUCUAGGUUCAAGUUUGCAGUAACUGUCUAAAAUAUGAUUUAGUAUAACCUAAUUAUGACAUGAAAUCCAUGUAAUUGCUUCAGAAUUGAAGUAUAAACACUGAAAUGCUUAUUUUACCAGCCUAAUGGCUUCACCUAACUGCAAAAUCUAUCACUGGCAAACAUGGCUGCGCUUCCACAGCACAGAACAGUGUAAACUUUAAAAAAAAAUUUUUUGUGACUAACCUCAUUAACACACCAUUCAUUUGAAAUUGAAGGUAACAUUUUAUUUAAAAAAAUAAUAAUAAUGUAACAUUACAGUUUCUGCAUAAACCGUGAUCAAAGUUGAACUUCAAACUUCUGCAGUGUUCAGAAAUAACUAGCAGUUAAGCCUUACGUACCAGAUGAGGUAGACGCUUCCCCUCUUCAGGAAAAUAAUUAAGCAGAAAUAUUUAACAUUAGCAAUGGAGUGUGGUUAAUUUUCUUAGUUAAAGCAGUUUUGUAUAUGAAAGUUCUACAAAAAUAAAGACUUUGUUAUUUAAAAAAGUAGUAUAUAUAUAUAUAUAUAUAUAUAUAUAUAUAUAUAUAUAUAUAAAAUACAUAUUUAAAUGGAUAUAAAAAAAAAGUUUUCAAUUUAAACAAAAGGGAUGUGGCUGUACACUACUAGUCAAACGUUUUGGAAAAACUAGGGCUUCUUAUGAUUACAUUACAUCCAUAUCACAGCACUGUUGAACUCUUGAUUCUGACUGGGUCAAGUUCUCCGACACAGGAAUGUCGGAAAAAUGAAGGACAUUGUACUUUGUCAGUAACAUGACACGUUUCAUUGUCUUAUUAACUUCAAGAGAGAGGACAAAAAGAGAUCCUGGUGAGAGAACUGGUUAUAGCUGUUACAAUUUAAACGAUACCAGGAACAAGCUAGUUGCAUGGAUGUUUCACCCCAUUAAAUGCAACUAUAAAUGGAUAAAAAUGAUGUGGAAAUUCACUAACAAAAAUAUACAUGAUUUGGAUUACAAAAAUAUGCAUUUUCGAAACUUUGACGGUUAAAGUAAAUGGUUCUGUUACGAUAGCCGUGAAAACCGUGCUCCAUAGUUAGGGAUAAAAACAACUUACAUUUUGUAAUAAGCGAAAAACCCCAAAACAAAACAAAACAAGCACCCUAACAUUUUGAAGUGAAAUAAAUAAAUAAAUAAAUAAAUCAAUCACAGAUGGUCUCUCUUUCUCUUCUUUUUGAGUUUUGCACUGUCGGUCCAUGAACACCAAUUUGACUUGCCAGAGACAGCGACUUUUUCAGCUCCGAGUGUGGCAUCUAGAUCAUUAUCUGGGUCUCUUACUUGCUUCUUUUUCUUAAUAUGUACUAAUAAUGCACCCCCUGAGGAUGAAAUACUGUCCUUUUUAGCAUGGCAUGUGUCUAAAGCAUCUCUUGAUUCUUCUGCAGCAAAUAGCUUAGGUACAACAUCUAAAAUCUGAUUCCCACCUCUAUCAACUGUGUCCUUUCUAUUCUUUUUCUUCUUCUCCUUCUCAAUUAUUGCUUCUGAAGGUUCUGAUGGAGAACCACUCUCCUGCCACAAUUCAUGUUCAACAAUCUCAGGAUACACUUCUAUGUCUGUUUCUACCCAUUGCUGCUUCUUCUUCUUCUUCUUCUUUUUCCUUCCAUUAGGCUGUAUGGUAUCCUCUGACUGCAGUACUUGUUGGCUACUUUCAGAACGGUCAUCUUUGGUCCUCUCACAUUUGUUUGUCUCAUUGGUGUCAUUUUGUCCACUACUUGAAGCUUCUUUCACUACUCUUGUCUGUUUAGUAUUUUGCCAAUGGGAGUCAUCCAGAUGCAACAAGCCGUGAGAAACCGACCACGAUCCAUCAUUUUCCAACUCUUUCCUUUUCCUCUUCUUUUUCUUCUUCUUCACUGGUUCUGAUCCACCAACACCUUCCUCCUCACCAAUCCCUCCAGUCUCACUUCUGGUGCUUGGGGUAUUGGAUGUUGUCAUCUCUAUGAGAUCAAGUCUGAGAGACACGGAUGCAUUUUUAGACGUCUCCUCUUCUUGAUGCGUUUUAAUUCUGCCCUUUUUCUUCUUUGGCUUUCUCACCAGAACCACCUCAGCUGCUUGCUGCUCAGAAUCUUGAGUAUUUGGAGCCUCCACUUGUUCUGUCGUCUCUACCAACAAUGCCUCAACGUCCAUAUUUUCUUCCCUGACCACCUUUUGCCGUUUCCUUUUUUUCCUCUUCUUCCUUUGAGUUAUAGAGUGAUCUGUCAAAUCUAUGCUAUUCACUGGUUGGAUUUCUAUGCCUGCUGGUAUUUCGGGGAUUUUCUCCAACGGUUCUCCAAUAUUCUUACUGGCCGUAGCCAUCUCUCCUACUUGUCCUUCUCCAACAUCAUCUAUAAACAUUUUCUUCUUUUUCUUGACAGUUUUGAUACCAUGGCUUGAAUAAGAUUCUUCACUACACUGCCAAGCCACGAUCUCAGUUAUCACAGGACUUGAAUCCUGUUUCGUCUUCGCCCUUUUCUUUUUCUUUUUCCUUUGUGGUUCAAGACAAUCAGACUGAACAAAAUUAGAAAGAUCAGUUCUGGUCAGCUGCUCAGUUUCCUCAGCUAUAGACACCAAAGAAGCUGAACCUUGACAGGGGAUCUGGAUAGCCUCCUCUACACCAAUCCAUUCAUCUUCCUGAGGCACUGGUUGACCAUGUUUGUCUUUUUUUCUCUUUUUCUUUGGUUUAAUUCCAUUCACUGAAGCACAAACCACUGAAGAGUCCUGAACUGAUAGACCAGAGUCUGCAGCAACACUGAUGUCUGGCAAGGUGUCAACUGGUUCCUCCAACAACCGAUCAUUUUUGUCCUUUUUACUCUUUGGUUUACUUCCACUAACUGAAGCACAAACCACUGAAGAGUCCUGAAGUGACAGACUCGAGUCUGCAGCAACACUGAUGUCUGGCAAGGUGUCAACUGGUUCCUCCAACAACCGAUAAUUUUUGUCCUUUUUUCUCUUUUUCUUUUCUUUACUUCCACUAACUGAAGCACAAACCACUGAAGAGUCCUGAACUGAUAGACCAGAGUCUGCAGCAACACUGAUGUCUGGCAAGGUGUCAACUGGUUCCUCCAACAACCAAUCAUUUGUGCCCUUUUUUCUCUUUGGUUUACUUUCACUAACUGAAGCACAAACCACUGAAGAGUCCUGAACUAAUAGACCUGAGUCUGCAGCAAUACUGAUGUCUGGCAAGGUAUAAACUGUUUCCUCCAACAACCGAUCAUUUUUGACCUUUCUUCUUUUUUUACGCUUGACGUCAUCAAAGUGAAGUGCAGAAUAUUCAUUCUGACCCAAAUCAGCUUGUCUUGGUGCCAGGUUAUCUGAGAUCUCAGGGUCUUUAGUCUUUUUAUUUUUCUUCCUCUUCAGAAAUUUCAAUCCACCAAAAUUGAACAGUGGGGUCUCGGUCUUCUCUUCCUGUCUGACCAUGAGGAUAUCCUUACUACAACUUGAGUAAUCAUUUCCUAUGGAUCCUGAUUCGUAAUCCUCUAAUGGCAGUGAUGAAUGAUGGUGUGGAUCUUGCAUAUCCAAUGUCGUCUUGUCCUUUUCCUUUCUUACCUGGCAUAUAUCUCCAGCUGUUGGUGAGACUAUUUCACUCGGGUGAGUCCUCAGAGAUUUGGAAUAUUUAAGAAAGUCACCCUCCAUAUCUUCCAAGAUUAAUGAACCCUUUUUCUUUAUUAUCAAACCUAUGUCAUCAUGUGGUACUACAAUGCUUUCUAAGACUUCCUUAUCAUUUUCAACACUAGUCUCUUUUAAAGGACUUGAUUGAUUAUUUGGUUCUUGAAAAAGAUCCUGUGAGCUGAUGAAACCUCCACUAACACUACCAAAGUCUUCGUUUUCCAGUGGCUCGUGAUGUACGCUUUGAUGGAUAUCCUGGACUUGUACUUGGUGUUCACAGGAUGAGAUGUUCUCAAAGCAGAGUGCAUCUUCCUUUCCUUCUUUGUCCGUAGGGUUGUCCUGCAAAAUCUGGGUUUCGUUUCCAAGUGGCUCAUGAUGUACGCCUUGAUGGAUAUCCUGGACUUGUACUUGGUGUUCACAGGAUGAGAUGUUCUCCAAGCAGGGUGCAUCUUCCUUUCCUUCUUUGUCCGUAGGAUUGUCCUGCAAAAUCUGGGUUUCGUUUCCAAGUGGCUCAUGAUGUACGCCUUGAUGGAUAUCCUGGACUUGUACUUGGUGUUCACAGGAUGAGAUGUUCUCCAAGCAGGGUGCAUCUUCCCUUCCUUCUCUGUCCAUAGGGUUGUCCUGCAAAAUCUGGGUUUCGUCUUCAUCCUGGUCUACCAAAUUUGGCCGCUGCGUCUCCUCGUCUGACGUUUCAUCAAUUGGUUCCAUCCAGUUCCAUUCGGCAGAUUUCCUGCUUUUCUCACCGUUCUCCGUGGACCGAGACACUUCUAUAUUAAGUGAGCUGCUCUCAUUAUAUACAUCUGCAUCAUCUUGAGGCGCCAUCAGGUCUUCAGCAACUUUCCUGGUUUGAGAACACGUCUCCUGCUCCUCUUGACAUUUGUUGCUUUUCUUAGUGCACGUUUCUGGAGCCUGUCUCGUUUUCCAUUUCAGGGAUGGUAGCCAUGUUUGUUGGUUUCUUUUAUGUGUGUUCUCAAUAAAGCAAUCUUUAUCCUAAAACAAAAUCAGACAUAUUGAUUAACAAUAAUAAAAUGUCUGUUUGAUGGCUUGAGAGAAAACUAAAGAAUAACUAGAAAAGAAUGAAACAAUCAAUCAUGACGUUUCUGAAAAGUCAAAUGCUAAAACGACGAUGCAGAAUUACAAAUUUUGACUUCAAAACGGCAUUCAAAUGGAUCCUUGUUACUUGACGAACCUGCCACCCCUGAAGUCACAGAUACAAUGCAGUAAACAGUUUUUUUUUUAAACUUUCAGUCCCUCAAAGAAACCUUGAAAUGGUUCUAAAUGGCAGACAUUUUCACUGUUAAUCUGUUGCUGCUCAAAAAAGUGUUGCACUUACCAUUUAAGUUAUUUGUGAAGUGAUACAUUUGACAAAUUUUUGAACUUUUUCAGUCGAAAAAUUUGGUGUAUCCCUAAAUCACUAAUGCUUAAACUAAUGAGCAUUUGGUAGGAAACGGGGUGGGGCCAGCAAGGGUGUCAGUUAAAACUGCAACUGUCAGUAAUUCCAAAUUCAUAUGUUGAUUGGCUAAUUUGUGGUUUUAUUAGAUUUAUUUGCUCAUUUGCUGUUUUAUUAUUUUUUAAUUAUUAUUCAGGGUUUUUGUCCUAUUCAGUUUUUUGUUGCAUGGCAAAAAGUGAAAACAUCACAACUGUCAAAAUAUAACUGCAAAAUAUACCACUUUUUUAACGUCCUCAUCAUCAUCAUCAUCUUCUGUUUGCAUACUGCUUUCCUUCCGUCUGUAAAUUAAAUCCGAAAAAAGUCAAUAAAAGGACAGACGAAUAAAAUAGAUUAAUAUUGUGUAUUAAUAUGUUCACUCACCUCUUGACUGAAAUGAAAACAGCAAGAGUUUUCUGACAUGGAUUCAAUGUUUAUAACAUUCCUACCACAGCACUACUGUACUCGCAAUUCAGUUUUUUUGCAAGGUGUUGAUUCAUUUCAGCAGCUCCGAUUGUCUUUUCGGCUGCAAUUCCGACGACAGGUUUAUUUUAAUUUGCUCGUUCUAAUACGUUAUGAUAACAAAUGACACCAGGACUUGUAUGCUCGGACGCUCCACAUAAUUGUAACUGUUGAUAAAAUUUCUGUUAGAUGUCGAUUCAUUCAUUUAUUUAUGGAAGGAGUCACCGGUGGCAGCACUCUGUUUUCCACCACAGGAAAGUCUUCAGGACAGAAAAGAUCCUAGUUCCUCAGGAACAUGACAAAAUGAUCAACUUCAAGAAAGGUUGGUGAGGGGACUCAUGGACCUUCAAGAAUGUCAACCCUAACUAUAACUGGUUAAUAAGUACAUAAUUUAUUAGUAUACUGAGUAUAAUGUAAUCUUCGUUAUAGGAAAAUGAUCAACUUCACGGUCCUAACAGUAAGUCCUGCUUACUAAGGCUGCUCCACACCACUACAUUGUAGAUCUUUUUCCUCCAACAGCAUGGCCAAUGUCAAAUUACACGCUUCAACAGAAACAAAUAUAAAACCUACACAAUACUGUAUUCAUGUUUUGUAUAAUACAAUGGUAAACUCACUCAGAAAGCAAUAAAGAUGGACUCAGCUCUCCUCUUCUUUUGUCUCCAUGACCUUUGCUCAGCUUCAAUAUGCAUUUAAAGAACCCACCAACCUCUGAAUUCUGAUAGACGGAAAUAAAAUUAUAAAACGAUUACCUUCACCUUAUAUAGCUGGAACGAAAUGUAAUUUAUCUAAAAUUGAAGAAGAAGAAAAAAAGUUUCCAGACAUUUCCAUUUUCUGAGAAUGCACUUAAAUUGUUGCCAUUCCUUUAACAUUCGGCUGAUAGAUACAGUGCACUCCAUUAAUAUUGGCACCCUUGGUAUAUAUGAGCAAAGACGGCUGUGGUUGUGAUCUUUUGUUAAAAAAAAAAAAAAAAAAAAUUUCACAUAAAAAUACUCUGCUCUCAUGGAUAUCAAACAAUUGCACAAAAUAAGUUUAUCAAAAAAAUAACUUCUAUACAAUAUUUAUUUUUUUUUUAAUUAGAAUAUGUUAUAUACAAAAUAUACAAUGUGCAACAAUUAUUGGCACCACUAUGAGUUCAUGAGAAAAUAUAUUUUAAGUAUAUUCCCAUUGAUAUUUGAAAAAAAAAAAUUGUACAACAAAAUUUUUUUGGAUAAACCCGUGUCGUGUUUGCAAUCGUUUGAUAUCCAUGAGAGCAGAGUAUUUUUGUGAAUUUUUUAAACAAAAGAUCAAAAGUUUCAACAAUAAAGACAAUUUUUCACAGCCUUCUUUGCUCAUAUUUACCAAAGGUGCCAAUAUUAGUGGAGGGCACUCUAUAAGUCUAAAUUAGAUUAAUUAUUAAUUUAAAGUCUUAUUUAUAGAACAAUUUAAAUGAUAAUAGUGUACCAUGGUUUGGG
ensembl:lncRNA